GAAAGCUUGCUUUCCUUGAUGACGACUGGCGCACGGGUGAGUAACGCGUAUCCAACCUUCCCAUAACUACGGGAUAACCCGUUGAAAGACGGCCUAAUACCGUAUGACAUCGUUUGCUGACAUCAAAUAACGAUUAAAGGUUUAGCGGUUAUGGAUGGGGAUGCGUCUGAUUAGCUUGUUGGCGGGGUAACGGCCCACCAAGGCUACGAUCAGUAGGGGUUCUGAGAGGAAGGUCCCCCACAUUGGAACUGAGACACGGUCCAAACUCCUACGGGAGGCAGCAGUGAGGAAUAUUGGUCAAUGGGCGAGAGCCUGAACCAGCCAAGUAGCGUGCAGGAUGACGGCCCUAUGGGUUGUAAACUGCUUUUAUGUGGGGAUAAAGUGCGUGACGUGUCAUGCAUUGCAGGUACCACAUGAAUAAGGACCGGCUAAUUCCGUGCCAGCAGCCGCGGUAAUACGGGAGGUCCGGGCGUUAUCCGGAUUUAUUGGGUUUAAAGGGAGCGUAGGCUGUCUAUUAAGCGUGUUGUGAAAUUUACCGGCUCAACCGGUGGCUUGCAGCGCGAACUGGUCGACUUGAGUAUGCAGGAAGUAGGCGGAAUUCAUGGUGUAGCGGUGAAAUGCUUAGAUAUCAUGACGAACUCCGAUUGCGCAGGCAGCUUACUGUAGCAUAACUGACGCUGAUGCUCGAAAGUGCGGGUAU
rnacentral:rRNA from 1 species